AGAGCGAACGCUGGCGGCAGGCCUAACACAUGCAAGUCGAGCGCCCCGCAAGGGGAGCGGCAGACGGGAGAGUAACACGUGGGAACGUACCCUUUGGUUCGGAACAACACAGGGAAACUUGUGCUAAUACCGGAUAAGCCCUUACGGGGAAAGAUUUAUUGCCAAAGGAUCGGCCCGCGUCUGAUUAGCUUGUUGGUGAGGUAACGGCUCACCAAGGCUACGAUCAGUAGCUGGUCUGAGAGGAUGAUCAGCCUCACUGGGACUGAGACACGGCCCAGACUCCUACGGGAGGCAGCAGUGGGGAAUAUUGGACAAUGGGCGCAAGCCUGAUCCAGCCAUGCCGCGUGGAUGAUGAAGGCCCGUAGGGUUGUAAAGUCCUUUCGACGGGAAGAUAAUGACGGUACCGUAGAAGAAGCCCGGCUAACUUCGCGCCAGCAGCCGC
rnacentral:rRNA from 1 species